rnacentral:rRNA from 1 species
CUCGUAGGCGGUUUGUCGCGUCUGCUGUGAAAUCCCGAGGCUCAACCUCGGGCCUGCAGUGGGUACGGGCAAACUAGAGUGUGGUAGGGGAGAUUGGAACUCCUGGUGUAGCGGUGGAAUGCGCAGAUAUCAGGAAGAACACCGAUGGCGAAGGCAGAUCUCUGGGCCAUUACUGACGCUGAGGAGCGAAAGCGUGGGGAGCGAACA